rnacentral:rRNA from 1 species
AAGCGGUGGAUGAUGUGGAUUAAUUCGAUGCAACGCGAAAACCUUACCUACCCUUGACAUGUCCGGAAUCCGAAGAGAUUUGGGAGUGCUCGCAAGAGAGCCGGAACACAGGUGCUGCAUGGCUGUCGUCAGCUCGUGUCGUGAGAUGUUGGGUUAAGUCCCGCAACGAGCGCAACCCUUGUCAUUAGUUGCCAUCAUUUGGUUGGGCACUCUAAUGAGACUGCCGGUGACAAACCGGAGGAAGGUGGGGAUGACGUCAAGUCCUCAUGGCCCUUAUGGGUAGGGCUUCGCACGUCAUACAAUGGUCGGUACAGAGGGUUGCCAACCCGCGAGGGGGAGCUAAUCCCACAAAGCCGAUCGUAGUCCGGAUCGCAGUCUGCAACUCGACUGCGUGAAGUCGGAAUCGCUAGUAAUCGUGGAUCAGCAUGUCACGGUGAAUACGUUCCCGGGUCUU